UCCCCGAUGGUCUAGUGGUCAUGAUUUCCGCUUGUCAAAGACGAGUUCUAGCUUUCACGAGCGCGGGAGACCAGGUAAGCAGUUUAAUUCACUUGUUGCCAACAUCUUAAUUAACAAAUAUCGUAGGGUUCGAUUCCCUGUCGAGGAG